rnacentral:rRNA from 1 species
UACGUAGGGCGCAAGCGUUGUCCGGAAUUAUUGGGCGUAAAGAGCUCGUAGGCGGUGUGUCGCGUCGGCCGUGAAAACCUGCAGCUUAACUGUGGGCUUGCGGUCGAUACGGGCAUCACUGGAGUUCGGCAGGGGAGACUGGAAUUCCUGGUGUAGCGGUGAAAUGCGCAGAUAUCAGGAGGAACACCGGUGGCGAAGGCGGGUCUCUGGGCCGAUACUGACGUGGAGGAGC